rnacentral:rRNA from 1 species
UGAGGAAUAUUGCACAAUGGGCGCAAGCCUGAUGCAGCAACGCCGCGUGAGGGACGAAGGCCUUCGGGUUGUAAACCUCUUUUCUGAGGGACGAGGAAGGACGGUACCUCAGGAAUAAGUCUCGGCUAACUACGUGCCAGCAGCCGCGGUAAAACGUAGGAGGCGAGCGUUAUCCGGAUUUACUGGGCGUAAAGCACGCGCAGGUGGCUUCGUGAGUCGGACAUGAAAGCUCCUGGCUUAACUGGGAGAGGCUGUUCGAUACUGCGGGGCUUGAGGUUGGGAGAGGGACGCGGAAUUCCCGGUGUAGUGGUGGAAUGCGUAGAUAUCGGGAGGAACACCAGUGGCGCAAGCGGCGUCCUGGCCCACACCUGACGCUGAGGUGCGAAAGCGUGGGUAGCAAA